rnacentral:rRNA from 1 species
UACGAAGGGUGCAAGCGUUACUCGGAAUUACUGGGCGUAAAGCGUGCGCAGGCGGUGAUGUAAGACAGGUGUGAAAUCCCCGGGCUUAACCUGGGAACUGCAUUUGUGACUGCAUCGCUGGAGUGCGGCAGAGGGGGAUGGAAUUCCGCGUGUAGCAGUGAAAUGCGUAGAUAUGCGGAGGAACACCGAUGGCGAAGGCAAUCCCCUGGGCCUGCACUGACGCUCAUGCACGAAGGCGUGGGGAGCAAACAGG